GGUGCGAUGAUGAGGUUAAGACACAGGGUGUUAUGGGCAGUGGACGAGACCUGAAAAAUCUCGCCGUGAGCCUUUCGCCAAUCAAACGACUUCUCCUUCCACUGAGCCCA
rnacentral:snoRNA from 1 species